CUGCAAUAGGGUUAGUGAUAAUGAUUGCACAAUUUUAUGAUUGAACUGAAAGCCACUAAAUUGUACACUAAAUACUGUUAAUUCUAUGCUACAUUAAUUUUAUAUCAAUUUUUUAAAAAGGGAUAUGGGAGGCUCAAAUAUAAUGGUACAUUUGAACUUUUCAGAACAAGGUCUUUCAAAACACUUGCCCAAUAAAUAUAAAUAUAUGGGCAUCCCCCAAUUGGCCUUUAAGGCAUUCUCUUCCAUUGGCCAAGAGCAUUCUCAUCUGCUCAGCAACUUUCUCCCAUUGGCCGGACCCUUGAUGCUGAGGCUUUGAAGCAGAGCCUGGGUUUUCCAGGCACUGCUGAUUAGCCGGGGGAAGAAAAGUAGGGUGUUGUAGCAAACCCUCCAGUUAGGACUUUGGGUCCCUAGGAGCUGACUGAGUCUGUUCAAGCAUUUUCUCUCUAGUGCCAGGCCUUUGGUUGGUGGGAAAAAGUCAUAGGAUGGCACUGGGGGGGUCUAUUUGCAGUCGUACUCUUAACUCUUGUGAGACCUCAAAACAAGUGCCUUCUGGGUGGUGCUUUCCACUGGGGUAAAAUGAAAAGACUCCAGGAUCACAGGCACCCAGGGUUCAAAGGCCUGUUAAGUAGAGAGCAGGAGACAGUACCAGCACAGCCCUAACUCUGUCGGGCCUGUCCUCUCAGAAGCCAGGCCAUGGCCCACCUAAAUUCUGGAAGGCCCCACCUCCCUUAGCCCCAACAGGCAGUGCUCAUCAUCAACGACUUUCCUCCAAGCCCCCGCCCUCUGCAUACUGCAUGGACUCCAGGAGUCCCCUGCCCCCACUCCCACCCAGGAAAGCUGGUCUAGGACCAAUCAGAGGCUGUGGAACUUUCUGGAAGGCCCAGGGCUUCUCCCUGGGUGGGGCAGGGCCUCUGAUUGGAGGAGGCCUGCCAGAAGGGUGGGGCGAUGGGCGUGGCUAACGGGAUAACUGCCAGAGCAGAAGACAGUUGGCAGUUAUUUCGCAACCUUCAUCUGUUCCUGGAAGAUACCCGUAGCCUGCCUUCCUUCUUGACAGGCUGAUUUAGGGGUGCUCCCCAAGAAGAUCAGGACUGCUGAAAGAAUGAAGAAGAACUUACUUGGCCUAGGAUGUGGCUAGAGAACGGAGCGCACUUUCACUUACCUGGCAAGGUGGUUUUGGAAGUUUCCACGGAAGCCUUCCCAGGGCCGCUGCUGCCCGUCCUCGCCUAGGUGUGGAGCUUCCCGACCGGCUGGGGAGGGAAUGUCCUGCGGGAGCCGCCGAGGACCCUCUUUAGCCUCUUCCCUGGCUUGGCUGCAGCUGCAGUCUGGUACUCGCCCAUUCUGCUCUUCUUCACCUCCGUAUUUUCUCUCUCACGGAAGAAGAAUUCCAUUCUCCCAUCCCAGGAAGGAGAGUGCCCUGCGUGCCACGAAAGAGCCCAGGACCCACAGGACAAAUACGUCACUGGCAGACCUGCCUUCGCCAGCGCCAGCCCAUCUCUGAAACCUCCAGCAUUUGUGCCCCGGUCCGGCCCCUCCCAGGCCUGACUCUUUCCGAACGGUCACUGCGCAGGAUCAAGCUACAAUGAAGAGGAGGGAGGCAGUCUGCGCGCACCGCCAUUUUCUAGGAACUGGGAAGCCCCCCCACCCCUUAGGAAGAUCCAUCCCUGUGGAACCUUGCCCAGGCUUACCAGCCUUUGCUGAGGUUGAUCUAUUGUCCCUCCUUGUCCCCAUCAAAAUAUCCAGCACUCCACCUUCAGGGAGUAGACUUGACCCUCAAAUAGCAAGUUCAGCCUUCCCAGGUCUAGGUUCCCUGGGAGGUCAAGAUUCGUCUGGUUCCUUAGUACAGAGGGCUAGCUGUGAGUUGGAAUCCCCCUAUGAGCUUUAGAAUCAGUCAAGAGGAAUUGGGCCCCUUCCCUUCAUCCCUCUUCUUUUCCCUUUUUGUCCCAGAGCUCAGCUCUGACUCAAAAGUUUUUCCAUUUACCAUCAACAUGGAAACUUGGCUCCUCACGUAGGUAUAUUAUCCCCCUUUUGUACAUGGUCUUGUUGAUCCAAACUCCCUUUCUGUGAAAGAGGCCUGUGGGGCUCAAGAAGCCUGGUCAGCCAGCCAGGCUAGUCCCACAUACCUCAGAACCAGUUUAAUAAAGGCUCUAUGUCAUUCUUUUUUGCUUGGGCUGAUUGGUGUGCUGAUUCAGAAGACCUUGAUAUUUUAUUCUUUCCCCCAAACCAGCUCAAUUGGUGUUUGUGCUAGAGGGAGAUGGACCAUGGGGAGGGCUGU
rnacentral:lncRNA from 1 species